rnacentral:lncRNA from 1 species
GGGUCGCCGUGGGGCAGAGGUUCCCUUGUCGUGCCGUGGGUCGCGCUCUGCCCCACAUCUAUGGGGCAGAGCCCCAGGAGGCGUCUCCCCCACGGCGCCGUGGGGCAGAGCUGGGGGUCCGGUGCUGCUGUGGGGCAGAGAUGGGGGUCACAGCCAGCCCCACAUCUAUGGGGCAGCCCCCUAAGUCUCCUCUCCCCACACUUAUGGGGCAGAUCUAUGGGUCUGAACCCCCUCCGAACCCUGCUAUGGGGCAGAUCUAUGGGUCCCACAUCUAUAGGGCAGCCCCCAAGGCCCCUCUCCCCACACUUAUGGGGCAGAUCUAUGGGUCCCAGCGCCCCCCAACCCCUCUAUGGGGCAGAGAUGUGGGUCCCACAUCUAUGGGGCAGCCCCUAAGGCCCCUCUCCCCACACUUAUGGGGCAGAUCUAUGGGUCACAACCCCGCUAUGGGGCAGAUCUAUGGGUCCCAGGGGCGCUAUGGGGCAGAUCUAUGGGUCCCAGCCCCCCCCAAACCCCGCUAUGGGGCAGAGAUGUGGGUCCCAGGAGCACUAUGGGGCAGAUCUAUGGGUCCCACAUCUAUGGGGUACCCCCCAAGGCCCCUCUCCCCACACUUAUGGGGCAGAUCUAUGGGUCUGAGCCCCCCCAAACCCCGCUAUGGGGCAGAUCUAUGGGUCCCAAGACGCUAUGGGGCAGAUCUAUGGGUCCCAGGGUGCCGUGGGGCAGAUCUAUGGGUCCCAACCCCGCUAUGGGGCACAGAUGUGGGUCGCAGCCCCCCCCGAACCCUGCUAUGGGGCAGAAAUGUGGGUCCCAACCCCGCUAUGGGGCAGAUCUAUGGGUCCCAGCCCCUCCCAACCCCGCUAUGGGGCAGAUCUAUGGGUCCCACAUCUAUGGGGCAGCCCCUAAGGCCCCUCUCCCCACACUUAUGGGGCAGAUCUAUGGGUCCCAACCUCCCCCAAACCCUUCUAUGGGGCAGAGAUGUGGGUCCCAGGACGCUAUGGGGCAGAUCUAUGGGUCCCAGCCCCUCUAUGGGGCAGAUCUAUGGGUCCCAACCCCCCCCAAUCCCUCUAUGGGGCAGAUCUAUGGGUCCCAGGGGCGCUGUGGGGCAGAUCUAUGGGUCCCAGCCCCCCCCAAACCCCGCUAUGGGGCACAGAUGUGGGUCCCAGCCCCACUAUGGGGCAGAUCUAUGGGUCCCAGGGCACCGUGGGGCAGAUCUAUGGGUCGCAGAUGUGGGUCCCAGGACGCUAUGGGGCAGAUCUAUGGGUCCCAACCCCGCUAUGGGGCAGAGAUGUGGGUCCCAGCCCCCCCAAACCCCUCUAUGGGGCAGAUCUAUGGGUCCCAGCCCCACUAUGGGGCAGAUCUAUGGGUCCCAGGGCGCUAUGGGGCAGAUCUAUGGGUCCCACCCCCCCCAAACCCCGCUAUGGGGCAGAAAUGUGGGUCCCAGCCCCACUGUAGGGCAGAUCUAUGGGUCCCAACCCCCCCCAAACCCUCUAUGGGGCAGAUCUAUGGGUCCCAGCCCCACUAUGGGGCAGAUCUAUGGGUCCCAGGGCACCGUGGGGCAGAUCUAUGGGUCGCAGAUGUGGGUCCCAGGACGCUAUGGGGCAGAUCUAUGGGUCCCAACCCCNNNNNNNNNNNNN